UGUAAUGCACGACAAUUUGGACGGGGUUAUUCUGACAGUGUUAGAUGACUCAAAUGGGGCUAAAAGUAUCUGAGAAAUUUGUGUGAAAUCCUUUUGAAGUUUUUGGAGAGGAACAAGUACUCCUAGGUCAUGAAUAAUUUUAAAUGUUUAUCUUAGGGAGAUGUGAGUUAUUAUAGCUGAGAAAUGCCUUUUUCUGUAUAUAAGGUAUAUAUUGCUCUUGGACAUUUAGGCUGACAAUGCUGUAAAUAUAUAAUUUGAAUGGAUUGUUGAUCUUCCUCUGUGUACUGGGGGCCCAAACUCAGAGCAUUGUUAUUUCAGAUUUGAGUGCCAAGGGGAAUAAUCCCAUUCCUGCACUUGCUGGCUGUGAUUUUGAUAAUUCACCUUAUAGAGCUGACCCAUCCCAGGUACAGGACUCUGCACUUCUUGCUAAACCUGAUGAGGUUUCUGUCAGCCCACUCCUCCAGUUUGCCAUCAUGGAGGUGACCGAUGUUAAACACUUGAAGCAUUAGACACAGGAUCCAUCCCAAAACUGACUGACUGAAAAUGAACAUCACUUACACACUAACUGUCUGCAGUAGGGUUUUGAAUCACUGAUCACUGCUCUUUAGGCCAAAAGUGUUUUCCCAAAGGGGCAAAAUUCUUAAAAAACCAAGGAAUUGGUAUCACUGGCUUCCAUGAGUCUGGUAAUUCAAUGAAGGUUUCACUUUUUGUGUCCCAACCACAUGCCUAUUGGGGAACAUGGAUGAAUUUGUUCUCUUUGCACAAUUUAAAAGCUCAGCUUUGAAGUAUUUCUCUUGAAAGAGAAUAGUUACUUCUUUGUAGCUAUUGUUUUCAAAUAGUUCCUUUUUAAAUUCCUGCUUUUGAUUUGAGUUGGCUACUCCAGUAAGGAGACACUUUCAUGUCUUAAUUCCAGUUUGACUGUAUUGGAGCUCUGCUAGUUUAUGACAGCUGCUGCUCUUGUGAAGUGAUCCUGGAUUCUGGAUUUCAGGGCUAUGUCAGUGAUGCUCAAGACAGUGGGAAUUAUUUACACCCCUGACCAUUUUUAUGUCAAGCUCAGCAUAUCCUAUAUAUAUAUGGAAGUAUGGCUUACAAUUGGAUGCAAUAGUGAAAGAAGCCAACUUGAAGGGAUGGCUGUACAAAAAUCUGCUGCAAAGUAGACAGGAUCAGAGCCUUCUCUUCAAGUCCCUUAGUAGUGUGCUCUGACCUUGCAUAAAUGCAAUGUACGUUUACCCCUGAGAAAACUGAGCUAAUCUGCUUUGUGUUUGGCAUCCCACAGAAAUAAACAUGGUAAGAAUAAAGAACA
rnacentral:lncRNA from 1 species